AAUCUUGGCUGAAUGAGAUGGGUCCCAGAGCAGGGAGAGCUCAGCUGCAGUGUGCACUACCAUACCAGUGGCUGCCCAGCUCUCUCACGCUUUUAGAUUUCUCUGCUGCACUGGGAGCCGCCUUGGUGGAGGUAUACUCCUGUUUCAAUGGCUGUGGCUGGAGGCUGUGGGCUGUGGAUGCCAUGUUAGAGUCCGUGGUCCUGCUCUCGGGGCCUGCUGACAGUCAGCUGUUGAAGGUGUGUCUAACUGAGGGAUUGGGAAACAGCAGCAGCAGCAGCAGCAGCAGCCUUGGGACCAGUGAGAGCUUUGGUUUGAGUGACAGUCCCUUCCUGGUAAUGACUGAACUUCCGCCGCCUCAGUCAGAAGAUGGUCACUGAGGUCCGAAUAUGUGGUGAAGCUAAGCUGGAAGUGCAGGAAACACUUGGACCUGUCGCGCUACGUUGCAAAUCAUUUUCAGCGUCACUUGGUGUUUCAACAUACCGGUUUGGGCCUGAAAGACGUGCCAGACCUGCUGCCAAAGCAUCGGCCUCCACCUCACCCUGCAGACAUGGCUGAACACACAUGCAUGCAUACAGACAGUACAAGCAGGCACUCACACACCAUGUAAGAAAACAUAAUGCUUAUCUCUUACUCGUGUUUUCAGCCAUUCUUUACUUCCUCAUAUUUCCAUACAGCACCUUGCAUAUGUGCCCCAGACUGUAUUCUGUGUGGACACACACACACAUUCUCUUGCCGCCUCUACAUUCUGUCUAUCUCCGUCUCUGAUGAUGGACGUCACAUACUCUCAUGCCACGUGUCCGACUUAGACGCGAUCGAGCCACAUUCACACGGUUUCCCUUGACACAAACAUAAACACGCAUUGAUUUGUCAGUUGACUCUCAGGCAUGCCCUAUUUUUAAAACUGUGAGCACACCUACACACAUUCUCCCAUGCUUGGGCACACCCACCGCAGCCCAUGUCAUGCAGUCGCUCCUCGCAUCGGAGGACACCCCGCACGGUUGUGAAGGAGAGAAAUUAGUCAGGUGAAGUAAAUCUCGUCACCUGACACUAGUGGUCUCUCUUUAAAGUUGUUUUCACCGCCGCCCCCACACUUAAUGGUACAGCACCUACUGAUUAUUGCACGCUCUGUGCUAGGCCGGUAAUUGCACGGUACAUACCUGUCCAGGGUGUAAGCCCAUCAGCUGAACAUGGGGCCCCUCUGUUGGCUGGCUCACCUCAUUGUAGUAGCUGAGAGAGGGAGCCUCUUGUCUGUCAUUCAGGAUCACUCAUUGUUAGCAUGCAUCCCCACUCUGCGAAGCAUGUGAGGGUUAAUUCAUAGAAACGUGCUCGACUGUGUGCUUCCAAUCAGCUGGUGUUUUUUAAGAGUUCGGUGACAGAAAACAACAAUGUUUUCAAAAGCUUAAGAUAACACAUAGCAUGAGAAUCAGCCCUUCAAAAGUUAAGUCGUGAUGGUUUUCAACAGUCAUUUGGCAUGUGAAUCACAGUGCACCUCUUAAUCCUGUGGUUAUUUUCAUGACAACUGAAUGAGUCACACUCCGAUGGUGACAUGUGGUAAUACAUUAUGUAGCUGGUAAAUUGUAAAACCACUGGAACAUGAUAUAUAUGUA